UGGGAUGUCAGAGUCUCCUUGGAAGAGUCCUAAUUAAGGACUCAGAAUGAUUGACAGGUGGUGGAAGCUCAAGAAAGCACACUUGAUAUGCAGCAGAAGACAGUCUCUGAGUUGCAAAAAACCUGGCAAUUGGAGACCUUGAAAAACUUUUGUGUAAUUGGCAUUGAUGUUAUCCAUAUGGUGGACAAAUGUGAUGUCUGCAGAAUGUCAAGGCAAUCAAAGUCUCUGCAGACUCUACUGUGAGAGAGAACCCUCAGAUAAGACACAAUGAAUGCAUACUGCUUUCCUUUCCAUGAAAAAUGUGAACCUCUUUUGAUCUUCCUUACUGAUAAAGGUUGAGAAGUAUGUACUUGCUAGA
rnacentral:sRNA from 1 species